CGCGCUGAUAUUUUCGCUCGGGAGGCGCCUGAUUUUUUCGUUUGGGAGAGAAAAGCGCGCGGAUAUCGGAUAUUUUCGCAUGGCUGUGGUCACGUGUGGAGCGCUUGGUCAAAAUCCCUAAAACAGGGUCCGGUCUUCUCCCAUCGGUCUGCUCCUCCCACUCCCAUGACCAGCGCCGCCGCUUGCCCCCGUGUCCGCCGUCCAGUUCUGAUCCGCCGACUCCCUCCCCAUCGAGCGCCGCCCACAUCGCCGUUGAGCACCGACUCCACGCCUCCAGCACAGCCUCCCUCCCCAUCUAGCGCGGCCCCCAUCGCCGGCGACUUCCAGAUCCGCCUCCCUGGCCGGCGAACUUCCAGAUCCGCGUCCCUGGCCGGCGAACUUCCAGAUCCACCUCCGUCGCCGUGUGGAGGUGGCUCCCUCCCCGACCAGUCUUACAAAAUCAGGAAGUUGUAGCGCUACAAAGGCCAAGUUUGAGAAGUGACAUUGCCACACCACAACCCUCUCGAUCAAGAAGUCCAAUCCAGGCAUGUUG